rnacentral:lncRNA from 1 species
UUCAAGUUCUUCUUCUCGGAUCCUGCUAGGGGUGGAAAUUUGUUUGCGGUUAGUGGUUAUAAUCGCUAACCGAACUGUGGAUUGUGGUUUUUUCUUAACCAGUAAUCGCAAACUCGAUUAGUGGUUUGGUGUUCGGUGGACAAUUUAGCAUAUUUGUGGUUUGCGGUUUAACCAGAAACCGGUUGAUUAACCAAUGAAAAAUCGAAGUAACAGGGAAAAAUACUAAUCUAUUCCCCCACAUGUAAAUACUGUCUUAUCUCAAAUCUCAAACUCAAACACAAAAUCAAAUUGCACUAUCUGUCGGCUCUCCAUGGGAAUCGUCGGACAACUCACCACCGAUCAGCUCAGCUUCUUCAAUUCCUUAUCGGCGAAUCAAUCCUCGUCUCUGUCGGCUCUCCUUGGUCUUGCUGGUUACCUCAUCGAUCAUCUCAAUUUCUUCAAUUCCUCGUCUCUGUCGGCUCUUCCUUGGCCUUUUAGGUUACCUCGUCGUCGAAUCAUUCGGCAACUCCGAUGAAAUCGACGCCAUGAGGAAGAGGAUGGAAAAGAUGCUCGACGAUUUUGACUGCUCCUCUUCCUCGGUCUUCUCCAUAAAAAACCAGGUUCAAUCUUCUUCUUCUCAGCCUUCCAUUUGUUCUCUCUUGACGGUCUCUGUCUUUGAAUACUUCACUAUAUCUUGAUUCCAUUGAGUGCUCUGAUUGUGUUGAUGUCGCCAGAAAAAGCAUUUGAUAACGGAGGGAACUCGAAGCAGCCUAAGGAUUUUUGUUGGAUCGUAUUUUGAUUUUUGGAGAAAAUGUGAAACAAUGUGAUUUUAUGGUGAACAACUAACCAAACCAAAAAUCGAGAUUCGGUUAGUGGUUCACCAUAAAACCGAACCGGUGUGGUUUUCGAUAAGGAAAUGUCUUCUUUUGUUAUUCGGUUAAUCGGGAAAUUUGGUUAUUUUUUUGUUAAACCAAAACCAAACCAUUUCCACUCCUAGAUCCGGCUAAAGCUCUGAAAGUCCUUGGUCAACGUCUCCUGACCUUCGACAACUACUUGAUCAGCGCUAUUCCCUAGGAGGCUCCUUCGUCCACCAUUUUCUCAGAGCUGCGGUUUGUGGAUUUUUCGGUUUGCUUGCACAGUUUUCCGAAGCGAUACUGUUCUCCUGGAAUCGCUAAGGGACUCUACUCCAUCUUGGGGGAGGUUCUGGAUCCUUAUAUCUUUGAUCGCCCAGGAUCAGAAGAUUACUAUCCCCCUGCUUUGGUGCGGAUCAAAGUCGAGAAACCUUUCCUUGGCCAUCGAGAGCUCAAGGAUGGGUCCGUUCAUCAGAGCUCCAAUGGCG